rnacentral:rRNA from 1 species
UACGUAGGGUGCGAGCGUUGUCCGGAAUUAUUGGGCGUAAAGAGCUUGUAGGCGGUUUGUCGCGUCUGCCGUGAAAAUUCGAGGCUCAACCUCGAACUUGCGGUGGGUACGGGCAGACUAGAGUGUGGUAGGGGAGACUGGAAUUCCUGGUGUAGCGGUGAAAUGCGCAGAUAUCAGGAGGAACACCGAUGGCGAAGGCAGCUCGCUGGGACGGUACUGACGCUGAGACGCGAAAGCGUGGGGAGCAAACAGG